rnacentral:tRNA from 1 species
GCUCCAGUGGCGCAAUCGGUUAGCGCGCCGUACUUAUAUAACAGUAUCGGAGGCAUGCGGAGGUUGUGAGUUCGAGCCUCACCUGGAGCA